AACGAACGCUGGCGGCAGGCUUAACACACGCAAGUCGAGCGCCCCGCAAGGGGAGCGGCAGACGGGUGAGUAACGCGUGGGAACGUACCCUUUGCUACGGAAUAGCUCCGGGAAACUGGAAUUAAUACCGUAUGUGCCCUACGGGGGAAAGUUUUAUCGGCAAAGGAUCGGCCCGCGUUGGAUUAGCUAGUUGGUGGGGUAAUGGCCUACCAAGGCGACGAUCCAUAGCUGGUCUGAGAGGAUGAUCAGCCACAUUGGGACUGAGACACGGCCCAAACUCCUACGGGAGGCAGCAGUGGGGAAUAUUGGACAAUGGGCGCAAGCCUGAUCCAGCCAUGCCGCGUGAGUGAUGAAGGCCUUAGGGUUGUAAAGCUCUUUCACCGGAGAAGAUAAUGACGGUAUCCGGAGAAGAAGCCCCGGCUAACUUCGUGCCAGCCGCCGCUGUAA
rnacentral:rRNA from 1 species